UACGUAGGGUGCGAGCGUUGUCCGGAAUUAUUGGGCGUAAAGGGCUCGUAGGCGGUUUGUCGCGUCGGGAGUGAAAACCAGGUGCUUAACACCUGGCUUGCUUUCGAUACGGGCAGACUAGAGGUAUUCAGGGGAGAACGGAACUUCCUGGUGUAGCGGUGAAAUGCGCAGAUAUCAGGAGGAACACCGGUGGCGAAGGCGGUUCUCUGGGAAUGACCUGACGCUGAGGAGCGAAAGUGUGGGGAGCGAACAGG
rnacentral:rRNA from 1 species